CCAGACUCCUACGGGAGGCAGCAGUGAGGAAUAUUGGUCAAUGGGCGGAAGCCUGAACCAGCCAAGUAGCGUGCAGGAUGACGGCCCUAUGGGUUGUAAACUGCUUUUAUGCGGGGAUAAAGGAGCCCACGUGUGGGCUUUUGCAGGUACCGCAUGAAUAAGGACCGGCUAAUUCCGUGCCAGCAGCCGCGGUAAUACGGAAGGUUCGGGCGUUAUCCGGAUUUAUUGGGUUUAAAGGGAGCGUAGGCCGCCCCUUAAGCGUGUUGUGAAAUGCGGGUGCUCAACAUCCGACUUGCAGCGCGAACUGGGGGGCUUGAGUGCGCCGAAAGUAGGCGGAAUUCGUGGUGUAGCGGUGAAAUGCUUAGAUAUCACGAAGAACUCCGAUUGCGAAGGCAGCUUACUGUAGCGCAACUGACGCUGAUGCUCGAAAGCGUGGGUAUCGAACAGGAUUAGAUACCCUGGUAGUCCACGCGGUAAACGAUGGAUGCUCGUUGUCGGCCUUUGUGGUCGGUGACCAAGCGAAAGCGUUAAGCAUCCCACCUGGGGAGUACGCCGGCAACGGUGAAACUCAAAGGAAUUGACGGGGGCCCGCACAAG
rnacentral:rRNA from 1 species